rnacentral:lncRNA from 1 species
AAGCUUUUGUCCUUUUGCAGUGCAAUGUAUGUGUGAUGAUGUAUCUUCUUCCUGGCGUUAACUAUGAGAGUAUAAGACUGUGUCUCAGUGUAAUGUUACCAAUGUAUCUCCACAGAGUUUCGUUUAAACUCUCUAGAAAUUUGGGAUCUUUCUUCAAAUUGGAAUGCCAGAUCUUAAGACGGAAGGUAUGUGCCAUCAUAUCUCCCUCUCAACCACUAUUAUUCGUUUCCUUCUUCUAAAAUAGUAAUCAAUGUACCCUUUCUUUCCUCAUCAAAAUUAUGAUAAAUAUUCCAUAUUAUGUUAUAUGUCUGUUGUAAUGGUCAUUUUGCUUAAUUGUUCUUGCUAUUAAUUUAUUUUUCGUAGAAUCUCUUCCUUUUAGAGUUAGUUAAACUGAACAGUGAAAAAUUAAUAAAUGUUUAUAUAGAAUUGAACAUUUAUUUUGAUGUGUUUAUUAGUUAGAACUUGAUAUAUAUACUCCCUUCUUUCUUCUUUACAAGUCAUCACAUCACAUCCUUAAAGUUUUAUUUAUUAAUCCAG